rnacentral:lncRNA from 1 species
GAGGCGACGACUCCCACGCUCCCACCCCCACCCCUCCCAAAAAAAGGGUUUGCCCUAACUUCUCACUCCUGCGGCGGUGCGGCCCUGCCAUCGACCCCUGCGGCGGUCUCCCUCUUCCCUUCCGGCCGCUCGCCGAACGCCAUCGGAAGGCCUCCUCUUCAGAAAUCGAAGAUCGAAGAUCGGGUUCUUCACUCUUCAGAAAUCGAAACCCUCCUCGUCGCCUCUUCCUCUUCCGCUUCCGCUUCCGCUUCCUCUCCCGCUUCCGCUAUCCAACGAUAGAUCAGUAACCGGGUGGUUCUUUACAAACCCAGGUAGGUACGAUUUGAGUUUUUUUCAUUCUUCAAAGAAAAAGUUGGAAGCUUUUAGUCAUCUGAUGGAUACUAGUUUUAUACACAAGUGGCUGAGUGCUUAAUUGAAUGUGUCCAUUCUCUGUUAUGCACAAAGAAGACCCAAACAUAGUGCGAAAUAAAUAAUCUUAAUUAACUUUGGGACCAGGAACUCUUGUAUUAUACCUAAUCAAUUUCAUGAUCUUUCUCGACUCUUGCAAAAGGAAAAUUUUGUUGGGGUCUUUCAUGGACCAUUGACUCACUGGGGUUUCUACUUAAUUUUUGAAACAUAACUUUGGGACCAGGUACUAUUUGAGUUUUCAUUCUUCAAAGCAAAAGUUGGAAGCUUUUACAUUUAAAUAUGGACUAUCUUGACCUCUUAUUUGUGCUAAUAGCAUAAAUCUUGAGAGGAAAAAAAUUUAAUUUAAUAGCCGAAUUUUUGAUCCCGAAUUUUUAAUUGGUGAACGAAUAAUAUCCGUAUAAAUCACGUAUCCGAAUAAUUGGCGAAUCCGUUUUCUAGCCGUUUUUUUCAACGAAUUUAAAAAUUAGAAGACGAAUUUUAUCCGAAUUAUACCCGUAUCGAAUUUUUGCCGAAUCCGAAUUAACUAACUAUGGUUUCAUCUUGGCCCUCAAACAUUUUAAUUAUAUCACUAAUCUAGUCCAUUUAUUUCUCAUGUCUCGCAAACCUGUCGACUAGGAGUGUAAUGUGGACCCUGCCGGGCCGGCAGGGUCCACAUUAGCUGGCCGAAUCAGGCUAAGGGUCGGCCUGGCCCGACCUGGUUUUAAAUUUGUGCCAGACCGUGCUGGGCCAGAGCUACCAAGCCUCUGAGCCAGCAUGGCUCUUAGGCCUAGAAGGCACGGGCCGUGCCGGGCCGAACGGUUCUCCGGACCGGCCCCUCAAAAUUUUUAUUUUUAAAAAGCAUGUAAAAUUUAAAAUAUAAACAAUAAAAUUAUUUCUAUUUAAAUCAAUAUUUUAAUUGAAAAGUUAAAAUUUAUAAAAAUAAUUAUAAAAUAACAAAUAUAUAAAUUAUUUUGAAAAAUAUAUAAAUUUUUUUUUUAAAAAAAAAUUGAGAUGGUUUUUGGUCGCUGGCAGACCUCGAGAGAAGAGCUCCGGAAGAGAAGGGCCUUGUUGGCCCGGCUGGCACGAACCAAGUAGGUCGUGCCGUGUCGGGCCACGAGACUCUCCUCGGCCUGGCACGACCCAUGCCCAUUUUGGCCCUGGCUGUCGGGCCUAGGGGAAGAGACCCAGCACAGCCCGAAAUUAGGCGAAAACCUGUUGUCCUGGCGAGUUUAGAACAACAUAUGAUAAUGGCAGCUCAAAUCUGCAGAAAAAGAUUGACUUAGGGUUAAAGUUACUAUGCUUUUAGAAGUACAGGAGAGUUGGUGUUUCCAACUCUUCGGCCUUUCGAUCAACCCUUUUAAUCAUUUCUGAUCUUUGGAUUAAUAUUAUUAUCCCAUGGGGACCACUCAAUUCUAGAAAAAUCACUAUCAUCCCAACGCUAUAAUUCUUGAUCCAAGGUCAAAAAUUUAGAAGCACUAACUCUCUUAUGCUUUCGAAAACAUAGUAGCUCUACACCCUAAGAUAUCCAAAAAUAAAUACAAUAAGAUCGGGAAAGUUUCUAAGCUAUAUCAUAUGUCUUCAUUAGGAUAGAGGUACUCUCCAAAGAAGCUCUUCAACUUGGUCGCGCAAAUUUGGUAGCUUCUCAGGACACACAUCACAAAUGUCCUGAACAAAUUGAAACAAUUGAUAGUCAACUGCUUUGUUCUUUGCCCAUUCCCAAACAACAAAAGCAAAAGAAUAACGAAAUUUAAACGAUAUAAGAAUAGCCCCUAGCUUCACAAAUUUUUAAAACUUCUCAUCGGUCUCGUAGUUGUCGGUAGGGGUGUCAACGAGCCGAGCUUGAGCGAGCUAAGGUCGGCUCGUGUUUGGCUGGUUUCAUAAACGAUAUGAGCUUGCUCGUUAAAAUAUCGAGCCAAAAAAUUCAGUUCGUGUUCGGCUUGUUUAUUAAUAAGCCGAAUACGAGCUGGCUCACGAACAACAAGUUAAAAGAUUAGAAAAAAUAUAUAGAGGGAAUAAAUUUAUGAUCUCUUAUCCAUUAAACAUUAGUACAUAUAAAUUAGUCUUUUUAUAAUUGUGUUGGGCUCUAUAUUUAGAUUGGACUAAAAAUCAAAGAAUGAAAAUCUGUAUUAUAUAUAUAAUUAUUUAUUUAUAUAUAUAAAUAUAAAAUAUAUGAACACGAGUUGAGCUGUUAUCGAGCCGAACACGAGCAAGCUGACGUCAGCUCAUGUUCGGCUCGUUUAUUAACCAAACUGAAAAAACUCAGCUCGUUUACUAAACGAGCGAUUCGAUCUCGAGCUCAUUUCAAGCCGAACACGAGCUGACUCGCGAACGGCAAGCUGGAUUGCCACCCCUAGUUGUUAGCAUCCGAACCCCAGCUUAGUAGUUCUAGUUAUGCAAAUACAAAAUAGGGUGGCCUACAAUAAGCUCAUGUAUUACUAUCUGUAAUCAAAGCAAACAACUAAAUGAUGUGUUUGGAGACUCCAUAAACUUUGACGUAUUCGUCAAAGCCACUCAAAACUCCGAAAUUUAGAAUGCGUAGCUGAUCAUGUGGCUGUGAAACGCAACUUUUUACCCUCUUAGUAUCUGUAGUCCUUUUCUACUACAAUAUGUACAUACGAAGCAUCCAAACAGGACCAAAUAUGAACAUUAUUGACAGAAAAGUAAGAAUUUUAUAACUCAAUAAUUCGAAAGUAAUGAAUAAUAGCAAACGGAAGCUAAGAAUAUUCACCUUGGAGAAAUUUGAGGUGCAUUGUACACGAAUCAGAUAAUACCACAAUAAAGAACCCAACUUCACCAAUGUAGAACAUCUGAUAAUAUGCAACUAGCUUUCCCUAGUAGCCAAAUGCGAAUUCACCAAUAAUCACUGCAAGAACAACCACCGUCUUUACACGAUUCCACCAAACAGACCCUUGUUUUCAUACUUGUUUUCAUACGAUUUCAUCGAAGGGACCCUUAUUUUCAAAAUUUUUUUAUUUUGAGAUGAGCCAGUAAUAAUAUAUUUUAUAUGAUUUCACUGAAUAGACCCUUAUUUAAUUGUGCCUUGAACAAAACUAGAGACUUGGAAAAUUUCACUGGAUACUUACCUACUAAACAAUUUGAACGCAACCAUUGGACCAUUGCACCGUAAACAGACUCCAAAAUAUAUAUAAAAAAUAAAAUUUUAAAAGUAUAAUAAAUUAUUAAAUAUUUUAUAUUAUAUUAUAUUAUGUUUUACUGUUUAAUCAUCAAACACUCCAUUAAUUAUAUAAUACACCUUGUGGUGCGUGAAAAAUUAAUAUGCACCAAGUACAAGCAAAAAUUUCUCCACUCUUUUCUGAGUGCUAAAGCCAUCAGUAAGUGAGGGAUUCCCACAUGCAUAAUAAACAUUUUGGAUGUGUCCAUUGCAUUGUAAGCCUAUUAUAAAAUAUGCAUAAAAAAUAAAAUUUCAAUAGUAGAAUAAAUUAUUUAAGUAUUUUUAUUAUAUCAUCUUUUAUUUUACAGUAUUAUUCAUCAAAUACUCCACCAAUCAUAUAAUAUUUUGUGCAGUAUAUAAAAAAUUAAUAUACACCAAGUGUAAAAAAAAAUUUCUCCGCUUUUGGAAUUAUGUACUGAACAUUCUCUGCACCGAGUGUAUUUACGUACAUACAUCUCGUGCUUUACAUUCCUCAAUUGUGAUUUUCAAAUUAAUUCAUGAAAUAUAAUCUAAAUUAUUAGACUAAUAAAUCAGUUAUAUUUAAUUAACUUUCAAUACUGAAACAUUAGUUAUUAUACAAUAUAAGUUGCAGUGUAUGUAGUAAUACGCACCACGUGAAUGCAAUAGUUUCUCUUUUACCGAUCAAUUUUAACAAGAUAAAGACACCUUCACCUAUACUUGCCCAGCGCGAGCCCUUUAUUAACGUCGCAUCCAACUCCCUCGCCUCAUCAAUUCGAGCCUCCAAAAGCAAAACCCUGUACACCUUUUCCCUCAACCGUCCGUCGAUCAGGAUCCGAUCCAGCGCCAUCUCCCUCAGAGCCCUUUGGGCAUCGAGCAUCCUCCCGAACCUGCAAAACCCUCCGAUGGCGAUCUCAUACGCCUUGUGAAAAAAGUGGAAAAGAAAAACCUAAAAUUAGGCGAAAAUCCGCUGUCCUGGCGAGUUUAGAGGAAGAAUAACGGCAGUUCAAAUUCUGCAGAAGAAGAUUGACUGAGGGCUGAGGGAGGAGACAAUGGCGGCAGGGAAAAGGUUCGAAUCCGAUACCUUAAUACCGUCGUCUGUAUCCAGUGUAAAAUGACCGUAAAUUCCUGCAUAUAACAACAUCAAAAUAAUCCAAAAGAUAUCCAAAAAUAAAUGCAAUAAGAUCGGGAAAGUUUCUAGACUAUACUGAGAGCUAAGUUGUUUGGGAACUACAAAAAGCACCGACCAUUCCCGUCAAGACGAUUACAUGUCUUCAUUAGGAUAUAGGUACUCUUCAAAGGAGCUCUUCAACUUGGUCCUGCAAAUUUGUGUAGCUUCUCAGGACACACAUCGCAAAUGUCCUGAAUAAUAAAUUGAAACGAUUGAUAGUCAACUGUUUCACAAAUUUUUUAAACUUCUCAUCAGUCUGGUAGUUGUCAGUAGGAGUAUCAACGACCUGAGCACGAGCGAGCUAGGGUCGACUCGUGUUCCACUUGUUUCAUAAACGAGCCGAGCACUAGCUGGAUUGUUAAAGUACCAAGCCUAAAAAUUCAGCUCGUACUCGGCUCGUUUAUUACGUGAGCGGUUGGAUCUCAAGCUCAUUUCAAGCCGAACAUGAGCUGGUUCGCGAACAGCGAGCUAGAUUGCCACCCCUAGUUGUCAACAUCCAAAUGCCAGCUUAGUAGUCCUAGCUCCGCAAAUACAAAACAGUGGCCUACAAUAAGCUCAUGCAUUACUAUCUAUAAUCAAAGCAAACAACUAAUGAUGAGUUUGGAUACUCCAUAAACUUUGACUUAUUUGUCAAAGCCACUCAAAACUCCCAAGUUUAAAAUACGUAGCUAUGCGUCUGUGAAAUGCAACUUUUUACCAUCUUAGCAUCUAUAGUCCUUUCCUACUACAAUAAGUACAUACAAAGCAUCCAAACGGGACCAAAUAUGAACAUUAUUGACAGAAAAGUAAGAAUUUUAUGACUCGAUAAUUUGAAAGUAACGAAUAAUAGCAAAGGGAAGCUAAGACUAUUCACCUUGGAGAAAUUUGGUGCAUAGUUCACAAAUCAGAUAAUACCAUGAUGAAAUAUUGUAUACGGACCCACGUAGUAUCCUUCUCUGCUUCAGCCACCGGAAGAAUUUCCAAUGUAACCAGUGACAUGAUAUGAUAUAUAACGAAUUCUUUCCAACGAAUUUCUAUUGUAACCAGCACUUACGCAUCAUCUCUCACGUCAAAUAACCCAACUUCACCAAUGUAGAAGCCAAAUGCAAAUUCACCAAUAAUCCCCACAAGAACAACCACCGUCUCUAAAAUGAUGAAAACGGGUAGUGUCCCUCAAAAUUAUGUCCCGCUCCUCGAUCUUUGAAAUGAACUUGGCAGCGUUGUGGCAAUCCCCGCAUACCCUAAGGUUCUUGAACACUCUUAGGGUAGUCCCAGGUGAUGUACUAAUCAGCCCAAAAGCAAUAGCAAGCUUCUCGCUGUGCCUCAUCAGCAUCAGUUCCUUCAGUUCCUCCCCCACAUCUUGCAAUACAUAAUUUAAAUUGGGCACGUACCCCAUUUGUUUCAUCCUCGUCGCUAACUUGGACAAUUUUUCAUGGAUCAAAUCGAGCUGAGAGUGAACCCUAUCGUUCGACCUGAACUCAUGCAUUACACCUUUUAUCUCAAUCCAGCUAUAUCCAGGGUUUUUCACUACCUCAUUCUCCUUCAUCAACUUUCUAACUCUGGAUACAUCGCACCACCGAUUCACCGCGGCAUAAAGAUUGGCCAACUGGACAUAAGCCCCUGCACCUUGUGGGUCCAACUCAAUCAGCUUUUGAGCGGCAAACUCCGCGAAUUCCAAAUUCUUGUAGGUCCUACAAGCACCCAAUAAGGUUCCAUAGACCGCGGGGUACGGUUUAAACGGCAUUGAACGGAUCAAUUGAACAGCUUUCGCAAGUGAGCCGGCUCGGCAGAGAAGAUCGACCAUGCAAGAAUAAUGGUCGGGCUGUGGCUCAACAUUAUAAACGUUCUUCAUCGACUCAAAGCAUUCGAUCCCGUACUCGACCAGCCCUGCAUGGUUGCAAGCAGAUAAAACUGCCACAAAGGUGAUCCAAUUCGGCUCAACUCCCUCUCCCUUCAUUUUCUCGAACAAAUCUAGAGCUUUAACUCCGUACCCAUGUUGCGCAUACCCGGAAAUCAUUGCAUUCCAUGCAACGACAUCUUUCCUAUGCAUUUCACCGAACAGCUUACAUGCGUCCUCCAAAUCCCCACACUUACAAUACAUGCUGACCAGAGAAGUCCCAACCGUCGUAAUCAGACCAAGGGGCAACUUCGAAACGAAUUGAUGGAUCUGCUUUCCCAAACCCAAAGAUGACAAAUUGCUGCAACCAAGCAGAGCACUGCUCAAAGUAGACGCAUUUGGCCG